rnacentral:tRNA from 1 species
GGAAGGGCAAGCCGACCUGGCGUGACGGCACCCGCCUCGAACGCGGGCGAGCGAUGAGCCUUGUGGGUUCGAGUCCCACCCCUUCCG